rnacentral:rRNA from 1 species
GGGUUGUGAGGUUAAGCGACUAAGCGUACACGGUGGAUGCCCUGGCAGUCAGAGGCGAUGAAGGACGUGCUAAUCUGCGAAAAGCGACGGUAAGGUGAUAUGAACCGCUACAGCCGUCGAUGUCCGAAUGGGGAAACCCAGUGUGUUUCGACACACUAUCGUUAACUGAAUACAUAGGUUAACGAGGCGAACCGGGGGAACUGAAACAUCUAAGUACCCCGAGGAAAAGAAAUCAACCGAGAUUCCCCCAGUAGCGGCGAGCGAACGGGGAGCAGCCCAGGACCUGAAUCAGCUUGUGCAUCAGUGGAAGCGUCUGGAAAGUCGCGCGAUACCGGGUGACAGCCCCGUACACGAAGAUGCAUAAGUUGUGAGUCCGACGAGUAGGGCGGGACACGUGGUAUCCUGUCUGAACAUGGGGGGACCAUCCUCCAAGGCUAAAUACUCCUGACUGACCGAUAGUGAACCAGUACCGUGAGGGAAAGGCGAAAAGAACCCCGGCGAGGGGAGUGAAACAGAACCUGAAACCGUGUACGUACAAGCAGUGGGAGCCUACUUGUUAGGUGACUGCGUACCUUUUGUAUAAUGGGUCAGCGACUUAUAUUCUGUAGCAAGGUUAACCGCAUAGGGGAGCCGAAGGGAAACCGAGUCUUAAUUGGGCGUUAAGUUGCAGGGUAUAGACCCGAAACCCGGUGAUCUAGCCAUGGGCAGGUUGAAGGUUGGGUAACACUAACUGGAGGACCGAACCGACUAAUGUUGAAAAAUUAGCGGAUGACUUGUGGCUGGGGGUGAAAGGCAAAACAAACCAGGAGCUAACAGGUUGUACACGAAAGAUAUUUAGGAAGCGACUCGAGA